AGCAAAUGAAGAAUUUCUACAGAGAGACGGAACACCAGCUGUUCUCAAUAUCAACUCAGCUCUGCAGAGUAGAAAGUGAUUUGAACAGCAGCAUGAGAGACUUAGAUUAUAUAUGGAAGAAUUUCCUGACAGUGAGGGUUGUUAAUGUUGGGAGGUUGUAGAAUCUUCUCUUCUGGAGGUUUUAAAAAUAACAUGGCUCUUCAUCAGCAUUAUUGUGAUACUGUCUAAAGUGUGAACUUAAGCAAAUUUAUAGAAUAAAAGAGUCAAAUGAACAUUAGCUACUUACAUCACUCAAAAUUUACAUCUGUCCUUUUAAAGGAUCCUGGGGAGAAAGGGAAUCAUGGACAGAAAUAUUUCAGUGCCCU